CUGCACACUCUCCAUUGCUGUGUUCCUCAUGGUGCGUGCCGAUCCAAUAUGCACGGCCAUACACUUCGCCCCGAUCCUCGUGCUCCUCACCGUCCACUGCUCUAGCGGGCGCUGGCCAACGGAUGCAGACUGCGCCGAGCGCGUGAUGCGCUACGGCUUCAGCGUCGCCCUCUGUGCUGAGCGACCUGCUAGCGUGCUCACGCACCUGUUCGUGCACAUCUCGUCGAAGCACCUUCUCAGUAACGUCUUCUCCUUCGCCGCGACUCUUGCUGAGUUCGGCGACGUGGCGGGCUCCGCCGCGGAGGGUGCGGUGACUCGCCGGCGGGUCACUUCACGGGAUGACGAGGAGCCGAGUGCGUCCGGCGGUGCUGCGGGGAGCUCUGCCGCACAUAGAAUGGCGUCGGAGAUGCGCGCCAUUUUGGGGCAGCGUAGCCGCGUGCAGGCCUGCGUCCGCUCGGCCGGCGCACUCUUCGUGUGGGCCGUCGGCGGUGCCGCCGGUGGACUGUGCUGCCAGAUGCUCUACAACAACUUUACGCUGGCGCUGCGUCGCCAGUGCGCUGCGCGGGCUGCUGCCGCUGUUGCAGAUGCGAAGCGAAAAGCCACAUGGGGUGCUUCUGACGGACGCAUACUGGCAUCGCUUAGCCGAGUCGCCGAAGCGCUCCGGCAGCGCGCGGAGGCGUGCAACAGCAUGUUGGCCGUGUCGGCUCAGGAGGCAGUGAACGAUGCGAUGCUCAUGUGCGGGGCGAGUGCGGGCAUCUGCGCCCUCUCCGGGUUCAGCGCCGCCUAUUACGGCAGGUUCAUCACCGCGUUCUGUCUUGUGGUGCCGGAGGCUCUCCUGCUGACCAAGGACCUCAUCAACCGCUACAUCGCACUGCUGGCGCCGAGCCUCGGCGCCACGGACUACGCGGCAGAGGCAGAGCGGCGUGCGCUGCGGUCGACGUGGCGCAUCCUGGUGCCUGCCCAGAGCGUCGGCCACGCCGCACACGUGGGCGGCUUCAUGGUGGGUUUGGGCAUGGGCUACUGCUGGCUGUGGGUGCGGAAGUGCCGGCGCCUGCGCCUCGCACAAAGCCGUCGCCGUGCUGCUCAGUGGCUGCCGAGGCCGGGCAUGCAAACAUAUGUGCAUGCACGCUCGCCUUUCUAGGUCGGCGGGUGCUGAGGCUCUCCGCCCUCCCCACCACCAGCUUCCUCUUCGUCGCCGUCGUCCGGACGGGUGCGCAGCGCACCGUGGGCGUACACACUUCAAUCGCUUCUCCGUGCUUCCUCACCCUUCCUCGCCCUCCGGCGACGAUGGUCGGUUCUCCGUUCCUGCCGACUUGUGCCUCUACGGCGGAGGGCGGCGACGCGCCAUGCGGAGACGUCGAGGGAACAGAGAACCACCACGACACGGGACACCCCUCACG
rnacentral:misc_RNA from 1 species